rnacentral:rRNA from 1 species
GUAGGGAAUAUUGGGCAAUGGAUGCAAGUCUGACCCAGCCAUCCCGCGUGCCGGAAGAAGGCCCUCAGGGUUGUAAACGGCUUUUGACGGUGAAGAAUCGACAGGAUGCGUCCUGUUUUGACGGUAGCCGUUGAAUAAGCACCGGCUAACUCCGUGCCAGCAGCCGCGGUAAUACGGAGGGUGCGAGCGUUGUCCGGAUUUAUUGGGUUUAAAGGGUGCGUAGUCUGGAAGGUCAGUCAGCGGUGAAAAGCUAUCGCUUAACGAUAAGCUUGCCUCAGGUACUUCCUUUCUUGGAUGAGGAGGAGGCCACUGGAACGGAUGGUGUAGCGGUGAAAUGCAUAGAUAUCAUCCAGAACACCGAUUGCGAAGGCAGGUGGCUGUACCUUAAUCGACGCUGAUGCACGAAAGCAUGGGGAGCAAACAGGAUUAGAUACCCGGGUAGUCC